rnacentral:lncRNA from 1 species
GGGAAGUCAUAGCCUUCAGAUAGACUCUUCCAUGGCAGAGCUUAAAGUUCUUCAUAAGUACUCAGAAAAUGGACAUUUAAAAAGUAUAGCAUUAAAUGGGCAUUUUUAAAACAUAUAUUGCAUUUAAGAGGUGUGGUCUAGUGGGAGGUCUUAAGGUCACUGGAAGAAUGCCCUUGAAGGAGAUAGUGGGAUCCGGCCCUUUCCUGUCUUUGGCUUUCUGGCAAUGAGGGUGAGUGAUUUUGCUCCACCAUUUGCUCCUAGCUUGAUAAAUGGUGUCUCAACACAGCCCCCAAAGUAAUGGGGCCAACCAAUCAUGGACUUGAACCUGAACUUUUAAAACUAUGAACCAAAAUAAACAUUUUCUCUUUAUAAGUUAAUUAGCUCAGGUAUUUUGUUAUAGUGAUAGAAAGUGGACUAACACACUCACCUUUUGUCUAAGCCCACCUUCACUGUCAUAGAGCAGAAGAAACUAUUCUUCUCACUAUAUUGUCACACAAAAUUAUUCGGAUCAUGUCAUAUCGAGUUAACUCCUUUUCUUCAUAGAAAAUAAUACAUUAUAGAGUUUCCCAUGAUCUUCUUGUAGAAGAAAGAAUAAUAAUAUUGUUGAGCUGAUUUAUAACUAGCUGAAUGAUCAGUUCUUUGGACUUGAAAGUCAUUGUGUUAGCUUGAGGGAGAUUAUUAGAUCUUUGCUCUUGGCCGUGGACAAAGUGACAAUUGUAUGAAUAACAUGGAUGAAGUUGAGAAAGCAUGCAUAUCAGAUUGAAAGCAUACUUAUCAGAUCCAUAAGUGUAGGUAGGUUAAUUAAAACCAAAUAAUAAAUGCCAAGUAAAUAAUGGAUACACAAAAUCCAAUAAAUGUCCCUAAGUUUGCAUUAAUGAUUUUACCUGUGUUUUAAGUUCAACAGGGAAACAUUUAAAAAAAUAAUCAUGGCUACAAAUUGUUUUAGUUUCCCUGGGAACACAAAAGAAGAAGAAAGAGAAGGAGAGAAAUGAUAAGAAAAGAAAAAGGAAGAAGAGAGACAUUGUCACAUGGCUUAGAUCCUUCCAUGGAUGUUUUGAUUUAGCAUGUGGUUGAUUUAUGUGAAAAUUAGUAAGGACACAUACCAAACUAUUAGCUAUAAUUAAUUCAGAAUCAGGGGACAGACUUUUAAAAAUUUGCCUUUAUUUUUACUAUAUUUUUUGCUUAUGUUUUCCAUAAUCAUAUGUAUUGCUUUUUUUGCAGGGGGGUAGGUAACUGGGGGUUGAAUUCAGGGGCACUCGACCACUAAGCCACAUCCCCAGCCCUAUUUUGUAUUUUAUUUAGAGACAGGAUCUCACUGAGUUUCUUAGCACCUCGCCGUUGCAGAGGCUGGCUUUGAACUCGCAAUCCUCCUGCCUCAGCCUCCCGAGCUGCUGGGGUUACAAGUGUGCACUACUGUGCCCAACAUAUAUUGCUUUUUUAAUCAAGGAGGAAAAGUUGAUUUUUUUUUAUUAAAGGGAUUAGAAUUGACUGACUACUUUACCUGAGCUAAGUGUAUAAUGUUGUUACUAAAACAGCACUUGGAAUCACAGGCUACCUUUACGUGAGCAUGGUAGCCACAUAAGGUCAGUAAUGGCACCACUGUGCCUGCACAGAGCUCAUCACCAUGUUUUAUUCUGUGGUCCAUGUAUUGACAGAAACAUCAUUCAUCAGUAAAUGAAGAAUCUGCAAUCUUGUCCUGUGAGCUAAGGACAAGAACCUGGUUUGGAAAAGAAGACUCAUGACAAGUAUCUCUUUAUAUGUGAAGUUCUAUAAGGUACAAGAGGAGGCAUCCUCAGAAGUCAGACAAUCACAAGAAGAAUCUAUUCUCAACAUAAGAAAGAACCUGAAAAAGUAAAGUGGGCUAGAAAUGGGGUAGUGUUUAUGCACAAUUGUGGACCCUUGUGAAUUUUGUAGGAAAGACUUCUGUGUCCUCUGGCUAAUUUAUAAAUUCAUGGAGACACUCAUUUUUUUUUCAGCCAAUAUUUAUUGAGAAGAUCUGGUAGUCCAAGAAAGCUGGAUUGAGUGACUUUUGGAGAGUUCUUUUCAAUCAAAUUAUGCUUCUUCUCAGUUCUGGGUCUCUUAUACUAUGACUUCAUUCAAAAUGAUUUUGAUUGUGUGCUAACUAUUCAAGGGAUAUUUUUUCAGAAUCUACCAUGAACAAGUACAAACUUAAAAGAUUAAGUCUAAGAUGCGUGAAUUCCAAACCUGCAAAGUUAAGGCCCUUGGUAGCAGUCACAGGAAAUCCUGAGCAAUCCUGAGAAUCCAGGUCCAAUUCCAGACAAAGGCAUUUUGCUUGACUAAUCAGGUCAGGGAGCAAGAGGAACCCAAACAAGGGGUCAGCAACCUUGAGAGAAUAUGAAAAGGAGUUAACCAUCAAGGCAUCAAAAAAAAAAAAAAAAGGAAAAUUAAGAAGGCCUAAUAAGCACAAAUGGAAACAGAAAUGAUGAGAAGAUCUGCCAUAGAACAUCUUUCCACCUCUCUACUUUUCUGUCCUCCUGAUAUCUGGACUAUUCUGCAACAGUACUACCUCCGUUUGGCUCUAAAGUCGAUUUAGUCUUGAAUUCUGAUCCAAUACAUAAGAAGUGAUGCCAUGUUUGGCAUGUCUUGCAUUGUUAGAGGGUCCCUAUUAAAAAAGCUUCUUUCUCUUUUUUUACUAGCAUUUUUUCAAACUCUCUAUCUCUCUAUCUCCUUGAUUGCAACACACACAUGCAGGAAUACACACGUACACACAUACGGUUUCUUUGAAGCACAGGAACAUACUCUACUUCAGGCAAGAGGAGUGCAGGUCAAGAGCCAAGAGAGCUUCUCACGGGUAAUCAGUCCACUGGUAAUCAUCCAAGAGCCUUGAAGGAGGUUCACAUGGAAUCCCCAUAGCUCCUUUGCAACUCUCUCAUAUGAAUUCUCAUCCCUAGUUGUCCCUGGGAAAUAUCAGUCCUCCACCUCUCUGGGGCACAUCUCUGAAGCUAGACUCACUUAGAGUCCUCAGGACACUGGCUUCUGGAAUUGACCAAGGCCAGUAAGCAAGGAACUGAUCAUACUAAAAUUAGUAUAGCCCAAACCCCAGCACAGGAAUCUCAGAAUGUCCUAGGGAAUAGGAUAUUUAUUCCUUGGGCCAGUUUUCUGUAUCUGGUGCUGUGUAAUUUGAUAUAUGAAUAUUUUGCAAAAUCCUGAGUAUAUCAUUCUAGAGUUGUAUAAAAUGAGAAUGAUUGGAUUUAAGUGACUUAUUGAAUGUUGUCAAGCAGAGGUAGUGAUGUCAAAAUUCAAGCCUCAAUCAACUUAAGACCAGAAUUCAUACUGUUGUUGAACUGAAAUGAAUUGAUCUAAACCGGCCUCCAUACUUCAACAAUGAAUCAACCCAAAAGGGAUUUUUGUAAGUACAAACUUACAACCUAGCUUGUGGUGCAAGCACAUUGUAACCUAACCAGAGUACACUGUUGUAGCUAAGCAACUGAGUCUCAGCCAAUCACAGCAGCAGACCCCUCAGUCAAUUUCCAGCUAAAGAUUGCCUGUUAUGGUUUAGCUGUGGUGUCCCCCAAAAGCUCAUGUGUGAGUCACUGCAAGAAGGUUCAGAGGAGAAAUGAUUGGAUUGUGAGAGUCUUGACCCAAUUAGUAAUUUAAUCCCUAGUAGGGGUUACUGAGUGGUAACUGAAGUGGUACAGUGUGGCUGGAAGAAGUAGGAAUUGGGGUGUGGGUUUGGGUAUAUAUUUGUGUCUGGGAGUGGAGUCUGUCUCUCUCUGCUUUUUGAUCACAGUGAUGUGAGCUGCUUCCCUCUGCCACUCUCUCCCGCCGUGAUAUUCAGCCUCACCUCUAGUCCUGAGGAAUGAAGCAGGCCUUCUAUGGACUAAGCUCUCUGAAACCAUGAGCCCUCAAAUAAACUCUUCUUUCUCUAUAAUUGUGC